AUCUGAAAAAUAUUAACUACCCUUUAGAAAAGUUAAUCUCUAUAAAUACUCAACUCUUAAUAUAUUAAUAGGUGGACACCUUGCAAAGAAAUGAAAUCAUCUUCAACAUGUUCAAUUGUUGAAGAAGGACGAGUAGACUUUUUAAAUAGUAUUUACAAUUUCUACAAAAAAAACCUCUCAUUCCAGGAAUACCUGCAGCAAUUGGAGCAGGGCCAGGUAGAGUUUUCAUACCACCACUUAAGCCCAGGAAUGAGGAGCAAGUACCAGCCUCUGCCAUUGUCAUUGCUGAAAUAGGUCUGCCAACUUCUGGAUAUCCCAAUGACGACAUUGAAGAAGUCAAAACAAGCAUGACUUAUGAAUCAGAUUAUUUGGAACUGUGCUCAGCUGGCCCCACACCCCCAAAAUGUGUCAUGACAAUGAAGA